UGGAGACUGGGACAUGGGAAAAUCAUCUAGGGAAGGAUACCUUUACUGGAUCAGCAGCCUUCAGUUGGAGGAACACAGCCAGCUCCUGGUGACCCCACAGGGAGAGAGCGGGAGCACUAAGGAUUCCAAACUCAGUCCUCCUGAUCUUCAUCAGUAUUCGUCAUUGGCCAAACAAAUAACUGAAAUUCAGAGGGCAAGAGAGCUCAUUGUUAUCUAAACAGGUCAGCAUGGCAGACAGCGAGGCGAAGAGGGAAGGAAGGUGGAUUUGGAAGAACAAACGGGAGUGACCUAGUGCAGCCCUGAUAAACCCGAGGGACUGUGACCCCCACUUCUAGGAGGGG
rnacentral:lncRNA from 10 species